GGACUACUGGAAGAGUUAACCCUUGAGGCCAGCAAGAUAUCAUCUCUCUUUUGCUCGCAAAAGAAAGAAGCCCUAGAAACAGAUAUGGCAUCCCUCAAGGGUGAUAAACCUGCUGGCUCUCAAGUGCCUGCUGCCCCCCAGGCCAAGCAAGACCCUCCCAAACAAAGCGGCAGCGCCCCGAAACCCCUGACAUCCAAGCCGGCCCCCAAGAAGGCCGAGCCGAAGCCGGCUCAGCCUAAGAAGAAGGCAACCGGUGGCAAGAAGUAGAAGAUCGCGUCGGCGGUUUUUGUCGUGCCGGAGACUCGGUCAUGAAGCUUACACUCAUGGAUGGGUCUCUCUAAUAAGUGUCUUCCAUGUAAACGCUGUUGUACUUUAGCUUUUGAACUUUAACCAUGUCCUCCCUCCCUCUCCGCCUCAGCUCGCUUUGAUGAAUAAAAGAUAAGUAUUGAAAGAAA